AACGAACGCUGGCGGCAGGCCUAACACAUGCAAGUCGAGCGAGGACUUCGGUCCUAGCGGCGGACGGGUGAGUAACGCGUGGGAACGUGCCCUUUGCUACGGAAUAGCCCCGGGAAACUGGGAGUAAUACCGUAUGUGCCCUUCGGGGGAAAGAUUUAUCGGCAAAGGAUCGGCCCGCGUUGGAUUAGGUAGUGGGUGGGGUAAUGGCCUACCAAGCCGACGAUCCAUAGCUGGUUUGAGAGGAUGAUCAGCCACACUGGGACUGAGACACGGCCCAGACUCCUACGGGAGGCAGCAGUGGGGAAUCGUAGACAAUGGGGGAAACCCUGAUCUAGCCAUGCCGCGUGAGCGAUGAAGGCCUUAGGGUUGUAAAGCUCUUUCAGUGGGGAAGAUAAUGACGGUACCCACAGAAGAAGCCCCGGCUAACUCCGUGCCAGCCGCCGCGGUAAAAC
rnacentral:rRNA from 1 species